UAACUCAUCACCCACGAUAGAAUUCACGAUCUCUUCAGUUUUCUCUACUCAACAUACGUACAAUUGGUUUGUGAUUCGAGACGGGAUAGCGUGGUAUGAUUUUUCUAAACAUCUCCAACCUCUUUGGGGCAGACGAUAGGAACAUGAUGAAAACCAGAGGAAGUUUAAGCUUUUGGAGCUAAUUAAUGAAGGCUAACAAAAAACACUUCUGAGAGCAGAGGAAGCUUAGGGGGUUUAUUUGGAACACUGAUAUGUAAGGAGCCGUAGGGAGAAAAACUCCUUACAUGGAGUUUGCUUCUUAAUACAAUGAGUUAGAUCAAUAACUAUAACUAUAACUAUACAAUGAGUUAGAUUAAUUGAGGAUAUUUCUAACAUACACUAUAACUAUAAGAUCUCGACUUCUAAGUUCUGAAGUUUUAUAAUUUGUUUUGGGAAACAAGUUUUAUAAGUUCUGAUUU